GAUGAACGCUGGCGGCGUGCCUAAUACAUGCAAGUCGAGCGAACAGACGAGGAGCUUGCCCCUCUGACGUUAGCGGCGGACGGGUGAGUAACACGGGGAGAAACUACCUAUAAGACUGGGAUAACUUCGGGAAACCGGAGCUAAAACCGGAUAUAAUAUUGAAUAGGAUGGUUCAAUAGUGAAAUACGGUUUUGCUGUCACCUAUAGAUGGAUCCGCGCCGCAUUAGCUAGUUGGUAUGGUAACGGCUUAGCAAGGCGACGAUGCGUAGCCGACCUGAGAGGGUGAUCGGACACACUGGCAGUGAGACACGGUCGAGACACCUAGGGGGGGCAGCGGUAGGGAAUCUUACGGGAUGGGGGAGAGCCGGACGGAGCAACGCGGCGUGAGCGCUGAAGGUCUUCGGAUCGUAAAGCUCUGAUAUUAGGGAAGAACUAAUGUGUAAGUAACUAUGCACGUAUUGACGGUACCUAAGCAAAAAGCCACGGCUAACUACGUG
rnacentral:rRNA from 1 species